rnacentral:rRNA from 1 species
AGUGAACGCUGGCGGUAGGCCUAACACAUGCAAGUCGAACGGCAGCACAGUAAGAGCUUGCUCUUACGGGUGGCGAGUGGCGGACGGGUGAGGAAUACAUCGGAAUCUACUUUUUCGUGGGGGAUAACGUAGGGAAACUUACGCUAAUACCGCAUACGACCUACGGGUGAAAGCAGGGGAUCUUCGGACCUUGCGCGAUUGAAUGAGCCGAUGUCGGAUUAGCUAGUUGGCGGGGUAAAGGCCCACCAAGGCGACGAUCCGUAGCUGGUCUGAGAGGCUGAUCAGCCACACUGGAACUGAGACACGGUCCAGACUCCUACGGGAGGCAGCAGUGGGGAAUAUUGGACAAUGGGCGCAAGCCUGAUCCAGCCAUACCGCGUGGGUGAAGAGGGCCUUCGGGUUGUAAAGCCCUUUUGUUGGGAAAGAAAAGCAGCAGGUUAAUACCCCGCUGUUCUGACGGUACCCAAAGAAUAAGCACCGGCUAACUUCGUG